rnacentral:rRNA from 1 species
AUUGAACGCUGGCGGCAGGCCUAACACAUGCAAGUCGAGCGGAUGAAGGGAGCUUGCUCCUGGAUUCAGCGGCGGACGGGUGAGUAAUGCCUAGGAAUCUGCCUGGUAGUGGGGGAUAACGUCCGGAAACGGGCGCUAAUACCGCAUACGUCCUGCGGGAGAAAGUGGGGGAUCUUCGGACCUCACGCUAUCAGAUGAGCCUAGGUCGGAUUAGCUAGUUGGUGGGGUAAAGGCCUACCAAGGCGACGAUCCGUAACUGGUCUGAGAGGAUGAUCAGUCACACUGGAACUGAGACACGGUCCAGACUCCUACGGGAGGCAGCAGUGGGGAAUAUUGGACAAUGGGCGAAAGCCUGAUCCAGCCAUGCCGCGUGUGUGAAGAAGGUCUUCGGAUUGUAAAGCUCUUUAAGUUGGGAGGAAGGGCAGUAAGUUAAUACCUUGCUGUUUUGACGUUACCAACAGAAUAAGCACCGGCUAACUUCGUG